rnacentral:rRNA from 1 species
UCAAGAAACUUCCACAAUGGGCGAAAGCCUGAUGGAGCGACGUCGCGUGAUGGACGAAGUGCUUCGGCACGUAAACAUCUUUUAUGUGGGAUGAAAUUAUUGACAGUACCACAUGAAUAAGGGGCUCCUAACUCUGUGCCAGCAGGAGCGGUAAUACAGAGGCCCCAAGCGUUAUCCGGAAUCACUGGGCGUAAAGGGUGUCGAGGCGGUUGUAUUAGUCGUUCGUAAAAUCUACGAGCUUAACUUGUAGGCGGCGAACGAAACGGUACGACUUGAGGUUUGGAGAGGUGCGUGGAACUCACGGUGUAGGGGUGAAAUCCGUUGAUAUCGUGGGGAACACCAAAGGCGAAGGCAGCGCACUGGCCAAAAUCUGACGCUCACACACGAAAGCUAGGGUAGCGAAGAGGAUUAGAUACCCGUAGUCCCUGAGCGGGCUGGCAAGGCGCAU